GAUGAACGCUGGCGGCGUGCCUAAUACAUGCAAGUCGAGCGAACAGACGAGGAGCUUGCUCCUCUGACGUUAGCGGCGGACGGGUGAGUAACACGUGGAUAACCUACCUAUAAGACUGGGAUAACUUCGGGAAACCGGAGCUAAUACCGGAUAAUAUAUUGAACCGCAUGGUCCAAUAGUGAAAGACGGUUUUGCUGUCACUUAUAGAUGGAUCCGCGCCGCAUUAGCUAGUUGGUAAGGUAACGCCUUACCAAGGCGACGAUGCGUAGCCGACCUGAGAGGGUGAUCGGCCACACUGGAACUGAGACACGGUCCAGACUCCUACGGGAGGCAGCAGUAGGGAAUCUUCCGCAAUGGGCGAAAGCCUGACGGAGCAACGCCGCGUGAGUGAUGAAGGUCUUCGGAUCGUAAAACUCUGUUAUUAGGGAAGAACAAAUGUGUAAGUAACUAUGCACGUCUUGACGGUACCUAAUCAGAAAGCCACGGCUAACUACGUG
rnacentral:rRNA from 1 species